AUUUUUACCCCCUUCUACACAAUUAAUUGGAGAGAUUUGAAGAUUAAGAGGAGGAAAAAGAUGGAGCUCAUGGUAGCCAUGGCUUUCUUGAAGACAUUUCAUGGUGAAAAAUUAGAGCUUGUCUCUAAGGCCUUGGGGAGCCCGAGGCGUAGGUUGGGAUUAAUUUUAGUUGGGCAAACUUGGAGCGCGUACGAGGUACAGACGCACAGUUUGGUGAUCUACCCAUUUAGGACACCCUCUUCUGCUGUUUGGAGUGCUUUUCUCAUUUCAGAGCACACAUUUUGG